rnacentral:rRNA from 1 species
CCUACGAGCGGCAGCAGUGGGGAAUAUUGGGCAAUGGGCGCAAGCCUGAUCCAGCCACGCCGCGUGAAGGAAGAAGGCUUUCGGGUUGUAAACUUCUUUUGACAGGGAAGAGUAGAAGACGGUACCUGUCGAAUAAGACACGGCUAACUACGGGCCAGCAGCCGCGGUAAUCCGAAGGUGGCAAGCGUUGUACGGAUUUACUGGGUGUAAAGGGCGGGUAGCCGGGUUGACAAGUCAGAUGUGAAAUCCUGCGGCUUAACCGCAGAACUGCAUUUGAAACUGUUGAGCUUGAGUACUGGAGAGGCAGACGGAAUUCCUAGUGUAGCGGUGAAAUGCGUAGAGAUGAGGAGGAACACCAGUGGCGAAGGCGGUCUGCUGGACAGCAACUGACGGUGAGGUGCGAAAGCGUGGGGAGCAAACAGGAUUAGAUACCCGUGUAGUC